CAAAGCCUACGGGAGGCAGCAGUGAGGAAUAUUGGCCAAUGGUCGGGAGACUGAACCAGCCAAGCCGCGUGAGGGAUGAAGGUACAGAGUAUCGUAAACCUCUUUUGUCAGGGAACAAAGGCGGGGACGCGUCCCCGGAUGAGUGUACCUGAAGAAAAAGCAUCGGCUAACUCCGCGCCAGCAGCCGCGGUAAUACGGAGGAUGCGAGCGUUAUCCGGAUUUAUUGGGGUUAAAGGGUGCGCAGGCGGUCUGUUAAGUCAGCGGUCAAAGCCCGGGGCUGAACCCCG
rnacentral:rRNA from 1 species